CAGACUCAGUCCCAUCAACGGCCUCUACUCCUUGUUGUUUGUGGCUCGAAACAAACACACAAGUUAUGUGCCUUACCCCAGGUGGAUGGUUCGAAUGUGCCUUUGGAUCCCAGCAGCUGUGCUCAAGACCUUCCCACAGUUCUUCCACAGACACUUGAACAUCACCUUCAUGGAGUUCUGUCAGGGACACAGAAACUUCAGAAAACCUCUGGUGUCUGCCUUGCCCAGAAGACCAGGCCAGAACUGUUUCCAGUUUUGACAAUAACCGUUUCUACUGCACACUCUACCAUUCAACUCUUCUGGAUAUCUUUCUCUCUCAUUGGAAGGCAAACUUGCAAAGCGCUCUGGAGAGUGAGACAUUAACCUUGG